GACAGAGGGUGCAAGCGUUGUUCGAAAUCACUGGGCGUAAAGGGCACGUAGGCGACGAAGUGUGUCUGAUGUGAAAGACCUUGGCUUAACCAAGGAAGUGCAUUGGAAACUACUUUGCUAGAGUGCGAGAGAGGGUGGUGGAAUUCCCAGAGUAGAGGUGAAAUUCGUAGAUACUGGGAGGAACAUCUGAGGCGAAGGCGACCACCUGGAUCGCUACUGACGCUGAGGUGCGAAAGCAUGGGGAGCAAACAGG
rnacentral:rRNA from 1 species